UACGUAGGGGGCGAGCGUUGUCCGGAUUUAUUGGGCGUAAAGAGCGUGUAGGCGGCCAGGUAGGUCUGCUGUGAAAGCCCGAGGCUCAACCUCGGAACUGCCUUCGAUACUGCGGGUCUCGAGUCCGGGAGAGGUGAGUGGAAUUCCUAGUGUAGAGGUGAAAUUCGUAGAUAUUAGGAAGAACACCAGUGGCGAAGGCGGCUCACUGGACCGGUACUGACGCUGAGGCGCGAAAGCGUGGGGAGCAAACAGG
rnacentral:rRNA from 1 species